CGCCAGACUCCUACGGGAGGCAGCAGUGGGGAAUAUUGCACAAUGGGGGAAACCCUGAUGCAGCGACGCCGCGUGAGCGAUGAAGUAUUUCGGUAUGUAAAGCUCUAUCAGCAGGGAAGAAAAUGACGGUACCUGACUAAGAAGCCCCGGCUAACUACGUGCCAGCAGCCGCGGUAAUACGUAGGGGGCAAGCGUUAUCCGGAUUUACUGGGUGUAAAGGGAGCGUAGACGGCUGUGCAAGCCAGAUGUGAAAGCCCGGGGCUCAACCCCGGGACUGCAUUUGGAACUGUGUGGCUGGAGUGUCGGAGAGGCAGGCGGAAUUCCUAGUGUAGCGGUGAAAUGCGUAGAUAUUAGGAGGAACACCAGUGGCGAAGGCGGCCUGCUGGACGAUGACUGACGUUGAGGCUCGAAAGCGUGGGGAGCAAACAGGAUUAGAUACCCGAGUAUA
rnacentral:rRNA from 1 species